GGAGGUGGCGAGCGUUGCUCGGGAUUUACUGGGGUGUAAAGGGCACGUAGGCGGUCCUGUAAGCUCUGUCUGAAAGAUUCGCGCUCAACGCGGAUUCGUGGCAGAGAACUGCAGGACUUGAGGAUGGGAAAGGCGGGCGGAAUUCCUGGUGUAAGGGUGACAUCUGUAGAUAUCGGGAGGAACACCAGUGGCGAAGGCGGCCCGCUGGCCCAUUUCAGACGCUGAGGUGCGAAAGCUAGGGGAGCGAACAGGAUUAGAUACCCUGGUAGUCCUAGCUGUAAACGAUGGACACUAGGUGUUGGCUCCAUCAUGGAGUCAGUGCCGUAGGAAACCCGUUAAGUGUCCCACCUGAGGAGUACGGCCGCAAGGUUG
rnacentral:rRNA from 1 species